rnacentral:rRNA from 1 species
UACGAAGGGUGCAAGCGUUACUCGGAAUUACUGGGCGUAAAGGGCGCGUAGGCGGUUCGUUAGGUCUGUCGUGAAAUCCCCGGGCUCAACCUGGGAAUGGCGAUGGAUACUGGCGAGCUAGAGUGUGUCAGAGGAUGGUGGAAUUCCCGGUGUAGCGGUGAAAUGCGUAGAGAUCGGGAGGAACAUCAGUGGCGAAGGCGGCCAUCUGGGACAACACUGACGCUGAAGCACGAAAGCGUGGGGAGCAAACAGG